rfam:Bacterium CG2_30_37_16 isolate CG2_30_37_16 cg2_3.0_scaffold_4792_c, whole genome shotgun sequence.
UUGAUAGAAUAGUUACUACCAAAGACAGCAAGUCCCAGAUGGGUUAAAUAUCUUGCCGAGGUUAAAUAGAUCCUUAUUCGUCUUUGGUUUAACCAAAGAUUUUUUAAUAUCAGA